CCGAAUGAAAAAGGCGGAACUCUGGAGUGAUUGCCCCAAGUCACAUCGCAGUUUCAGCGUCCCACCCCUUUCUGCUAAUAAUGGCGACCUCAGCCCCCGGAAGUAGCAGCAGAGAAGGAACGGCCAAAGCCAUGGUGGCCGAUCAGAUCUCUCAGGCUGUGCAGUCCACCUCCAAUCUCCUCCAUCUCAUGCAACAGUCUUCUCCUGCCCAGGCCCAACUCAUCAAGCUUCCUAAGAACCUUUUGGCAAAGGCCUCUGCAAUCAAGAAUACAGAACAGGUUUUAGACCAGAUGCCUGGGGUAAUUUCAACUCUUGAUGCCCAUAUGGAAAAUGGACUGCGAAGUGUUCCGCACUUGAAGACUGUUAUUCAGCUGCUUGCAAACAUGGAAAGCAGCCAGCUCAGUUCUCUCUCUCAAGCUCAUCCUCCCCAGAAGAUGGGAGCAUAGUUAAUAUUGACGGGAGAGUAAAAAAAUGAAAAACUAGAAGACAAUUUGUGAAGGCAAUUUCACCCGAAUCUUGUCAUGAAAAGAACGUGACCCGGCAAACCGACCUAGAGGGAUGGAAUAAUGGAAAAAACGCUCCAGGUUUUAUGGCCAUCUCAUUGGGAGUCUCACCCUUGAUCAUCCAAGUUUUUUUUUUCUUUGGAAGAUUUGGAAGUUACACUCGGAUUAUUAAGCGCCGGCUAAUCGGCUACGUUCUAUCUUGAGGUCUUCCUGCAGAUCACAGUUUGGAGGAAAGAAUUUCCUAGCUUCUAAAGUUUAUGGUUGCUCAUGCUCAACUGAAGAAGCUGUCGGAUUCUAUAACCAUCACGUCCCCGAAUUACCAGUUCAGUUGUAGAUCAUGUCCGGAAGACUGAAUGAUUAGGCAGCUGAAAGAUGCAAGUGCAUAUAUGUACAUACGCGCAGACGUACAUGUGUAUUCUGCUUUUAUUUAUACUACAAGAUAAUGUCACAGAACUUUCCCCCCUUAUAAACUGCGUAACACAAAGAUGGGGGAAUGGCAAUUUGAGGCCGAUAUAUUUAUUUAAUUAUAAUUUGGGAUCAAACAUUUCAAAGUUCUAAUAAAGGAAAAGCUUCUCAGCAAGGAAUGUCAGAAGCUGGAAGAUCCGUUGCAAAUGA